UGAUCAGAAAGCCAGCAAUAAAUAUUAGAUAGAUGUGCAGCUCAGAUGGGGUGACUAUGACUCUCAUGAUAUUGGGCGAUGUUAUCGACCAGAACCGAACUGCAGUAAGAACCCCUGACAUGGUUAGGAACCAAGUGAACUUCAAGAGGCGAUCACUGACAUCAAGAUUGAAAUUAGCAGUCCCCUUGCCCGGGAUCGGUCCGCAGAACAUAUCGGUAAACCGAUUGAAAAUCGGUACAGUAGUUAGUUUCGACCAUGGUCGACAAAUUAGUCUAGUUCUCUCACCGAAGUUAAAUAGUGUUCCCAUGAUUCUCCGAUCGCCUGGAUCAUAAAUUUUUCGGCGAUGGACAAAGAAAACAAUCGAAAAAAGAUCAAGGCGGUUAUUAUGACAAGAAUUUUCGUUGGAAAAGUUAGGAUUAGCAGAGUAACACAUUGGAAAUUCACUGAAAGGAGUGUUGAGUGUGAAAAUGACGGGUUCCUCUCUCGUAUAUAUAUAUAGAGCCCUGACAUUUAUUGUAUGCAGAACUCGAAGCGGAUUCAUCGGUAACUGAGGAAUUUAUUGCUUUGACCGAUAUAGAUCGGUUAAGAGGAGAGAUCGGAAAAUGAGACAGAUCGAGUAAAACAAGGAACAACUUAUAGAGAUCGGAAAAUGAGAGAGAUCGGGUAAAACAAUGAACAAUAUAGAGAUCGGAAGUGAUAGAGGAGUCUAACCGCUUCCAAUCAUGACAUUUAAUUCACAAGUUUAGCUCCUUGCUGUCAGAUUGUAGGCAGUUAAAGCAGCCCAAUAUAUCCCAAUCUACACCGUUAAUCACAAUUGUAAGGACAAAUUUGAAUCCCUUAGAUCAAAAGUAAAUGACAGAUUCGACGCUUUUUGUUCCAAGCCCUUGGAUCCAUUUUGUAAGGCAAGACCCUUGACCGUUGGAUUAAGGGGUGAAAGGAUAAAAAUUCUAAACGGAAUCCCAACCCUCAAUUUUGAUUCUCUUUAAUUCCAAGAUGUCGGAUUAUGUCCUUUUGAAUAUAGGCCGCUUUCCGUCUCCUCCUGCUGAGAUCUUGAGCCUCUAUUCUGAGCACCCAUUCCCUAUAAAUACCUGCAUACAGUACUGUAGAAGGGAGAGAGGUGGUGAUCAUCGUGAAAAAACCUUGAAUUUUGAUAUAGCCUUAUUGCUUGUCAUUCGAAGCUCUCAGCUUUUAGAAAUUUUAAAAACCUGUUUUCUAAAGCAUCUCAUUUAAAGAGCUAUAAACCCUGUGAUUCUCAUUUUCAGUAUUUGUGCAUUACCUUGCGAUCUCAACUCCACUCCACUUCAUUCUCAUCACCUCGGGUCAGCUCAAGUUUUUCCAACUCCUCAGUCUUCAGCUCCCUAAGUUUUUCCGCCCUCUCAGUCUUCAGCCCCCUAAGAGGUGCAUAAUUCUGAAGCUUCAAAGAUUCUACCAUAAGCACACGACCUGGUGUGGGUGAACAGGUUAGGAUUAGAAAGAAAAUAAAAUACUGAAUGUGGGAACUCUCAAUUCGUUAACCAAAAUCACUCACCAGAGAGAUGCACUAAGAUCACUUAAAUAACAAAUAUAUUGUUUUUCAGCAAAAAUCAAAAUAAUUCCCAUGAGUGCAGUAUUCACUCAUUUAACUGAGCACAAGCUAGGAAAAUCAGAAGUUGAUAUUGCGUCUAGGAUGUUAUUGGCCAACAAUGAAAACGGACUGUUAUAAUGUUGUGAUAAAAUACAUAAAAAAUCAAAAUAAGUUACCUCUAUUUUAAGCCUGAAAAGCUCAACUUCAAUGUCAGAAGGGGUAAAUGGACAGCGAAAGACCCUAGUUUGAUAAGUUUUGACUUCAUCUGUAGUGGCGUUUCGAGCCUUGAAGGUUAUGUAAAACUAACCAGGUGGAUGCAUAUUUGCGUGUUCAAUUUUUUCGAAGAUAAGAUUUGCACCCUAUGUGAUUGAAAAGAAUGUCAUCAACACUGAGUAUUGCUUGAAAUAGAAAAAUAGAAUUUAAAAAAUUCUGUUGAGGAGCAAAAUAGAAUUAAAAAGAUAAACUGUAUACUAAUCUCACAUAAUCUAUGUUAACAAUAAGAAAUAAACAUUAAUUUAGACCAUAAUUUCUAAUCAAUAGCAACCAAUUGUUCAAUUAUAUGUACGUGAUUUGGAUUUUUCAAUCAUUAUGGUAUAAAAUUUCAAAUCUACAAACCACCUUUUCAUUCUCCUUCUCAAUUGCAUAUUUAAGGGCCUCUUUGCACCUGUUAGAGAAGAUAUCAUCACGAUGGAGCUUCACGGCAUAAGCAAGACCAAAUACUUUGGGCAGCCCAGGCAAAGGGUCGAAAUCAAAACACUGAAGAGGGAUUACCGAAAAAUUGUGAGAGAAAACUAAUAAAUCCACAAAAAGACUUAAAAAUUGUGAGAGAAAAACUUAUAAAUCCAUAAAAAGACUAGUGGAUUACAUCGUUUUCUUUAAUCUGGCUAUCGUAUUUGUCCAAUAAUUUCACAUAGCUCUCGUUUUCCGAGUCAUAAGACCACCACUGUGACUCGCAACCGUUGGGGUCACUAACUUCCUCCUUUUGAUACUCAUCGUCGUAAGCCAUGUUGUCGUCGAUUUGUCCUUAUCUUCAACCUGUUCAGCAACAGAGCUAUCCACAAUCUUUAGUUCGCCACCUGGCUCUUCGCCAUGGAAGCUAUCCUUAGUCUUUGAUUUCUUCAACAGUGAUUCAUAAGCCGGAUAAUCAUUAUCGGAAGUCAUGUUACAAAGAACGAGCGUAAAAGAAGAGAGUUGUUCACUUACUUUUACAAAAAUGCCUUGCUUGUUUAUGCUAUAUAUAGAUAUAUAUAGUAUAAAAGGAAAACGAGAAGUUCUCCUCCCAUUCUCAGCGCUCUGCUGUAUUCUGCUGCAUAAACAGAAAAGUAGAGCACGAGACAUUCCUCUCCCACAUCACAGCACUCUCAUUCUCAGCUCUCU
rnacentral:misc_RNA from 1 species